rnacentral:rRNA from 1 species
GAUGAACGCUGGCGGCGUGCCUAAUACAUGCAAGUCGAGCGAACAGAUGAGGAGCUUGCUCCUCUGACGUUAGCGGCGGACGGGUGAGUAACACGUGGAUAACCUACCUAUAAGACUGGGAUAACUUCGGGAAACCGGAGCUAAUACCGGAUAAUAUAUUGAACCGCAUGGUUCAAUAGUGAAAGACGGUUUUGCUGUCACUUAUAGAUGGAUCCGCGCCGCAUUAGCUAGUUGGUAAGGUAACGGCUUACCAAGGCAACGAUGCGUAGCCGACCUGAGAGGGUGAUCGGCCACACUGGAACUGAGACACGGUCCAGACUCCUACGGGAGGCAGCAGUAGGGAAUUUUCCGCAAUGGGCGAAAGCCUGACGGAGCAACGCCGCGUGAGUGAUGAAGGUCUUCGGAUCGUAAAACUCUGUUAUUAGGGAAGAACAAAUGUGUAAGUAACUAUGCACGUCUUGACGGUACCUAAUCAGAAAGCCACGGCUAACUACGUG